AGUGAACGCUGGCGGUAGGCCUAACACAUGCAAGUCGAACGGCAGCACAGGAGAGCUUGCUCUCUGGGUGGCGAGUGGCGGACGGGUGAGGAAUACAUCGGAAUCUACUUUUUCGUGGGGGAUAACGUAGGGAAACUUACGCUAAUACCGCAUACGACCUACGGGUGAAAGCAGGGGACCUUCGGGCCUUGCGCGAUUGAAUGAGCCGAUGUCGGAUUAGCUAGUUGGCGGGGUAAAGGCCCACCAAGGCGACGAUCCGUAGCUGGUCUGAGAGGAUGGUCAGCCACGCGGGAACUGAGACACGGUCCAGACUCCUACGGGAGGCAGCAGUGGGGAAUAUUGGACAAUGGGCGCAAGCCUGAUCCAGCCAUACCGCGUGGGGGAAGAAGGCCUUCGGGUUGUAAAGCCCUUUUGUUGGGAAAGAAAUCCAGCUGGCUAAUACCCGGUUGGGAUGACGGUACCCAAAGAAUAAGCACCGGCUAACUUCGUGCCAGCCGCCGCGGUAA
rnacentral:rRNA from 1 species